UACGGGGGGGGCAAGCGUUGUUCGGAAUUACUGGGCGUAAAGGGUCUGUAGGUGGCUUGCUAAGUCAGACGUGAAAUCCCUCGGCUUAACCGGGGAACUGCGUCUGAUACUGGCGAGCUUGAGUGCAGGAGAGGAACGCGGAAUUCCAGGUGUAGCGGUGAAAUGCGUAGAUAUCUGGAGGAACACCGGUGGCGAAGGCGGCAUCCUGGACCAAUAUUGACGCUGAGGAGCGAAAGCCAGGGGAGCAAACGGG
rnacentral:rRNA from 1 species